GUUCGUUCAUCCUGUCUUCGGAGUUGGGAGUAACCGCCACCGGACCUGGCAAGUCCCACUUCCAGACUUGGACGCUUGGUGCUCUCCUUCCCCAAGACAGGGGUGCCCUGGAGGAGGCCCAGAUGGCGUGUGGGGUCUUCCCCACCAGCUUUCAGAAACUCCAGAAGAUAAUGAAAUGAUAUAUUCUGAAAUGUGAAGAGCUGAAAAUGCAACAAAGAUGCAGCCCUGAAAACCUGAGACUCAUUAUCCACACAAACAAAUAGAGGUUUAACAGGAGAUUGUGGUUUGAGACAUUCCUGAAAACAAAAGAAAACCAAAAAAGGGAUGAGAGGAGAAUAUUUGGCUAGCAAAUACCACAGACUACUCACACAGCAAAGGCAGAUAAGUGCAGUGACCAAGAAUGCCUUCUAGUGGUCUUCAUUGAAGAUAUGAUUGUCCUGGUUCCAUCGAUUCCCAACACACCGGAUCGUCUCUCCCUUUUUCAGGAAUCUGUUACAUUCAAGGAUGUGGCUGUGGACUUCACUAGAGAGGAGUGGAGACAUCUGGAGCCUGCCCAGAGGGCCCUGUACAGGAACGUGAUAUUGGAGACCUAUGAGAACCUGGUCUUUGUGGGACUUCCUGUUUCCAAACUGGAUGUGAUCUCCCUGUUGGAGAGAGGGGAAGCCCCAUGGUGGCCCGAGGGAGGAGGCCCCCAAGGCUCUUGCCCAGAUGGUGUUAGUCAGGAGACCAGAUGUGAAAGCAAAGAUGCAAGUCUGAUAAAAUGCAUUUACAUGGGGGAAUCAUCCAAGACAAGACUUCCAGCGAAUAUUCCCUGGCAUUCCAGGACAACAGAACCAAUGGAAUAUAAUAUUAAUUUAGAGAUACAGAAGGGUGAUCAGGAGAGACAAUUCAGACUAGUAACAAUCCCACAGAGAAUAACUUUUAAUGAAAUGACUGUACCACAUUGUACUACUUUGGGAGGAAGUUUUAAUCUGGCAUCAAUCUUUGUUCCAUCAUGGAAAAGUCCUGUGGAGAAGAGUCUCCACAAAUAUAAGACACUUGACAAACAAAUAAAGGAUUUUUCAGACUUACUUAUAUGCAAUGCUUUUUCCUCAGGGAAGAAUCUUUCUCAGUAUGACAAAUGUAAGAAGCCCUUUAGUUACCACUCAGACCUAAUUAAAUACCACAGAAUACAUACUGGAAAAAAGCUCCAUGAGGACAAUGAAAUGGGAAAGGCAUUUGGUAGAAGAUUAUGUGUUAUUGGCUGUCAGAAAAUUCAAAUUGGAGAGAAAUAUGAAUGUCACAAAU